GUAGGUGGCAAGCGUUGUCCGGAAUUAUUGGGCGUAAAGCGCGCGCAGGCGGUUCUUUAAGUCUGAUGUGAAAGCCCACGGCUCAACCGUGGAGGGUCAUUGGAAACUGGAGAACUUGAGUACAGAAGAGGAAAGCGGAAUUCCACGUGUAGCGGUGAAAUGCGUAGAGAUGUGGAGGAACACCAGUGGCGAAGGCGGCUUUCUGGUCUGUAACUGACGCUGAGGCGCGAAAGCGUGGGGAGCAAACAGGAUUAGAUACCCUGGUAGUCCACGCCGUAAACGAUGGGUGCUAAGUGUUAGGGGGUUUCCGCCCCCUUAGUGCUGCAGCUAACGCAUUAAGCACUCCGCCUGGGGAGUACGACCGCAAGGCUG
rnacentral:rRNA from 1 species